rnacentral:rRNA from 1 species
UACGCAGGGGGCAAGCGUUGUCCGGAUUUAUUGGGCGUAAAGAGCGUGUAGGCGGCCUGACAGGUCAGCUGUGAAAACUCGAGGCUCAACCUCGAGACGUCGGUUGAAACCAUCUGGCUAGAGUCCGGAAGAGGAGUGUGGAAUUCCCGGUGUAGCGGUGAAAUGCGCAGAUAUCGGGAAGAACACCCGUGGCGAAGGCGGCACUCUGGGACGGUACUGACGCUGAGGCGCGAAAGCCAGGGGAGCGAACGGA